rnacentral:rRNA from 1 species
AUUGAACGCUGGCGGCAGGCCUAACACAUGCAAGUCGAACGAGUGGCGGACGGGUGAGUAAUGUCUGGGAAACUGCCUGAUGGAGGGGGAUAACUACUGGAAACGGUAGCUAAUACCGCAUACCAUCAGAUGUGCCCAGAUGGGAUUAGCUUGUUGGUGGGGUAACGGCUCACCAAGGCGACGAUCCCUAGCUGGUCUGAGAGGAUGACCAGCCCCACUGGAACUGAGACACGGUCCAGGCUCCUACGGGAGGCAACAGUGGGGGAUAUUGCCCAAUGGGCGCAAGCCUGGUGCAGCCAUGCCGCGUGUGUGGAAGAGGCCUUCGGGUUGUAAAGUACUUUCCACGGGGGAGCGUUACCCGCAGAAGAAGCACCGGCUAACUCCGUGCCAGCAGCCGCGGUAAUAC